CAUAAAAUUUCUAUUUGUAAUCAACCUAAUAUAAAUUGAACACACAAUUAAGAUUUAGGAAUGUGUAACACCCCAAGUCUCUUAAUUUUCAAAAGUCACAAAACUAUGUUUCCUCAAAUGCUUUGACAUUAUUUAAAAAUUGGAUUCUAUCUUAUUCUCUUGAGGAAAUUUUUGGGUAGUUAGUUUAAUUUCUGAAUAUUUCACAUUUAUCUUUCAGAUAUUCCUGACAUCAAUGUAUCGUUUUGAGUAUGUUAUCAUAUCUCUUAACAUUUCUGUUUCAGCCUUGACCUGAGACCUUUUUUUUUUUUUUUUUAAUCUUGAGAUAAUUAUUGGCUUUGUCAAGGCUACCGGUGACAAAAGCAGUAGCAAGCAGGUGCAGAGUGCUUUUUCCACCAAAGAAGAGACAUUGUACUCUUUGGGGUUAUAUUAAUGACUAAUUCACCUCUCUGUCCUCCUCAAUGCCAUCUGUCUUUUGUUUGGUCUCCCUCAUGUUAGUCACGAAGUCUGCUUAGAAGGAUUUGUGUCUUAUUUGAUAUAGGUUCUAUACUCAGUGCUAGGGAACAAUCAUUGGCAAGAUGUGUUUCCUUUACUCAAAGAGGUUUUAUUGGUCUACGUUUGGAAAAGAGACAUACAGUCAUUAGAAUGCAAUAUUGUGAAAGUUGACAAGGGAAAUUCUUGGGGUUAUGGGACUCUUCAAUGUCUUUAUUGAGAAAUACAGAUAUAUACAUUUAUCAAAACUCAUAAAAUGAUGAAUGAAUUUCUAGUAUUUUAUUGUGUAUAAAUUAUGCCUCAAUAAAAGUUCAUUGUAAUGUGCUGCAAUAAGAA
rnacentral:lncRNA from 1 species